GCCGCCGUAGCUCAAUUGGUAGAGCAUCGGGCGCUUUAUCCGAAGGUUGCAGGUUCGGUCCCUGCCGGCGGCA
rnacentral:tRNA from 1 species